CUUUCAAAAUCUGACCACAGCAUUUCAACCCAUUCGUCUGGGAAACUUAGAGUUGAUCACAGCCUGGACUUGCCUGGACAUGCUAGAGAUGGUUGUAUGGGAUUUUCUGACUCUGUCUUCAGGGCUACCACAAUAGUAGCCUGAAACUGGCUACAGCGGAAGUAUUUACACCACAGAAAUAGGGGAGGGAUGCUGAUGAUACUGACAAUGAUAAGGAACAACAAACAGAUGAACAAUACUACCAACUUCAUAGACUCAUUGUUUAAAGCACGGUGUCUGGCGCACAAAACCAAAUGGCACAGAUAUAUUCUGUCUGGUCUUCUUGGCACAUUUUGGAGAGAAGCCUGGACCCUGUGGUGUGCUACAUACCUCAGCCACUUUGAUGCUGAAGCAAAAAUGUAUUGAAAACUUAUGCUGCACACAGGCAGAGAUGUACAAUUUCUAAACAGAACCCCAGACCACGCCCAAAGCCUGCCAGUUCUUUUCAGCACCGUGGACAGCGAACAGAAAAUGCUCCCUGUAAACCCUGGUUUCUGCUGUAAAUGAAGGAAAAGGCAAAGCACCCACAGUGAAUCCUAACAGUGUCUCCUGAAAUUGUGUGCUUUCUUCAUUGUAAUUCUACCCAGUGACUGUGUAUAAUUCAUUUGUUCAUUCAGUGAAUGUGCUGAAAGACUAAUAAA